rnacentral:tRNA from 2 species
GGAGAGGUGCCGGAGUGGACGAACGGGUGCGACUGGAAAUCGCAUGUUCCGCCAAAAGCGGGACCCAGGGUUCGAAUCCCUGCCUCUCCGCCA